GCGGUGCUAUUGGCUAUUCGUAAUGAGGCUAUUAGGUUUGAUUGUAUGUUCUCUUGGACCCUAGCCAUUUGGAUCCUUACUGUGUAUGUUGGCUACGGUAGGUUUAAGUCUACUGUUUGGAGUAGGAUGCACCUAGAUGGAAUCUAUCGAUCUUGAUAAAAAAAGAAAAGUCCAAUGUAAUUUGCGAGAUUAAGUUCAGAAAG
rnacentral:lncRNA from 1 species